GACGAACGCUGGCGGCGUGCUUAACACAUGCAAGUCGAACGGAAAGGCCCUGUUUUUGUGGGGUGCUCGAGUGGCGAACGGGUGAGUAACACGUGAGUAACCUGCCCUUGACUUUGGGAUAACUUCAGGAAACUGGGGCUAAUACCGGAUAGGCGCUCCUGCUGCAUGGUGGGGGUUGGACAGUUUAGGCGGUUGGGGAUGGACUCGCGGCGUAUCAGCUUGUUGGUGGGGUAGGGGCUUACCAAGGCUUUGACGGGUAGCCGGCCUGAGAGGGUAACCGGCAACAUUGGGACUGAGAUACGGCACAGACUACUACGGGAGGGAGCGGUGGGGAGUAUGACACAGUGGGAGGAAGCCUGAUGCAGCGACGCCGCGUGCGGGAUGACGGCCUUCGGGUUGGAAACCGCUUUCGCCUGUGACGAAGCGUGAGUGACGGUAAUGGGUAAAGAAGCACCGGCUAACUACGUG
rnacentral:rRNA from 1 species